rnacentral:misc_RNA from 1 species
AAGUCGUAACAAGGUUUCCGUAGGUGAACCUGCGGAAGGAUCAUUAACACGUAUCCAACGUUAAAACCCCCCCCGUGAACUUUCAAUCCUGCUCUUGUAACCCGCGUAGUUCGCAAUCUCUGGUAAAUCAUAGCCCGGAAAGUUGUUUUGAUUCAGUGUCACUGAUUGUGCAAGGAUAGCGCUUCACGAUUCCUGUAGACCGUACACUCGGGCAGGAGCUAUGCCAAAGGGUCCCCAUGCCCCCUAAUAACCCCACAGUUUAAUGUGAAGCUCAAUGUAAUACAUUGGGUAAAAAAACCGAACAACUGUUAACAAUGGAUAUCUUGGUUCUC